rnacentral:tRNA from 1 species
AUGAUAUAGCUUAGAUAAAGCCCCUCGCUUACACCGAGGAAACAUCCGUGAAAAUCGGAUUAUCUUGAG